rnacentral:rRNA from 1 species
UACGAAGGGGGCUAGCGUUGUUCGGAAUUACUGGGCGUAAAGCGCACGUAGGCGGCCAUUUAAGUCAGGGGUGAAAUCCCGGGGCUCAACCCCGGAACUGCCUUUGAUACUGGGUGUCUCGAGUCCGGAAGAGGUGAGUGGAAUUCCGAGUGUAGAGGUGAAAUUCGUAGAUAUUCGGAGGAACACCAGUGGCGAAGGCGGCUCACUGGUCCGGUACUGACGCUGAGGUGCGAAAGCGUGGGGAGCAAACAGG